UUACCGGCUAGAAAAGAACGAAACUUCGCAAGACCCAGGUGCUGCAUGGCUGUCGUCAGCUCGUGUCGUGAGAUGUUGGGUUAAGUCCCGCAACGAGCGCAACCCUAUCUUAGUUGCCAGCAUAUGGGACUCAAAGAGACUGCCGGGGUCAACCGGAGGAAGGUGGGGAUGACGUCAAGUCCUCAUGGCCCUUAUGCCGGGCUACACACGUGCUACAAUGGGGUACAAGCGGCACCGCAAGGGGAGCAAUCGCAAAACCGCCUCAGUACGGAUUGCACUCUGCAACUCGAGUGCAUGAAGUCGGAAUUGCUAGUAAUCGUCAUCAGCAGGGACGGUGAAUACGUUCCCGGGCCUUGUACACACCGCCCGUCACACCAUGGGAGUCGAUGUCCGAA
rnacentral:rRNA from 1 species